UGGAUCCAGACUUUGAUUCUGGCUCAGGAUGAACGCUAGCUACAGGCUUAACUCAUGCAAGUCGAGGGGCAGCAUGGUCUUAGCUUGCUAAGGCCGAUGGCGACCGGCGCACGGGUGAGUAACACGUAUCCAACCUGCCGUCUACUCUUGGACAGCCUUCUGAAAGGAAGAUUAAUACAAGAUGGCAUCAUGAGUCCGCAUGUUCACAUGAUUAAAGGUAUUCCGGUAGACGAUGGGGAUGCGUUCCAUUAGAUAGUAGGCGGGGUAACGGCCCACCUAGUCUUCGAUGGAUAGGGGUUCUGAGAGGAAGGUCCCCCACAUUGGAACUGAGACACGGUCCAAACUCCUACGGGAGGCAGCAGUGAGGAAUAUUGGUCAAUGGGCGAGAGCCUGAACCAGCCAAGUAGCGUGAAGGAUGACUGCCCUAUGGGUUGUAAACUUCUUUUAUAAAGGAAUAAAGUCGGGUAUGCAUACCCGUUUGCAUGUACUUUAUGAAUAAGGAUCGGCUAACUCCGUGCCAGCAGCCGCGGUAGUACGGAGGAUUCGAGCGUUAUCCGGAUUUAUUGGGUUUAAAGGGAGCGUAGAUGGAUGUUUAAGUCAGUUGUGAAAGUUUGCGGCUCAACCGUAAAAUUGCAGUUGAUACUGGAUAUCUUGAGUGCAGUUGAGGCAGGCGGAAUUCGUGGUGUAGCGGUGAAAUGCUUAGAUAUCACGAAGAACUCCGAUUGCGAAGGCAGCCUGCUAAGCUGCAACUGACAUUGAGGCUCGAAAGUGUGGGUAUCAAACAGGAUUAGAUACCCUGGUAGUCCACACGGUAAACGAUGAAUACUCGCUGUUUGCGAUAUACAGCAAGCGGCCAAGCGAAAGCGUUAAGUAUUCCACCUGGGGAGUACGCCGGCAACGGUGCAACUCAAAGGAAUUGACGGA
rnacentral:rRNA from 1 species